GACGAACGCUGGCGGCGUGCCUAAUACAUGCAAGUUGAGCGAUGAAGCUUGGUGCUUGCACCAAUUUGAAGAGCAGCGAACGGGUGAGUAACGCGUGGGGAAUCUGCCUUUGAGCGGGGGACAACAUUUGGAAACGAAUGCUAAUACCGCAUAACAACUUUAAACAUAAGUUUUAAGUUUGAAAGAUGCAAUUGCAUCACUCAAAGAUGAUCCCGCGUUGUAUUAGCUAGUUGGUGAGGUAAAGGCUCACCAAGGCGAUGAUACAUAGCCGACCUGAGAGGGGGAUCGGCCACAUUGGGACUGGGACACGGCCCAAACUCCUACGGGAGGCAGCAGUAGGGAAUCUUCGGCAAUGGACGAAAGUCUGACCGAGCAACGCCGCGUGAGGGAAGAAGGGUUUCGGAUCGUAAAACUCUGUUGGUAGAGAAGAACGUUGGUGAGAGUGGAAAGCUCAUCAAGUGACGGUAACUACCCAGAAAGGGACGGCUAACUACGUG
rnacentral:rRNA from 1 species